AAGCUGCUGAAUGCACGUUGGGAUAAAACAGAACAUUCGGAAAAAAUAAAGUUUUCUUUGAAGACAGCACAAUGGAAUACUUUCCAAAAUGCACUGAGAUGCUUUGUGAAUCAGCCAAUCAGAGAGCAGUCUGAGUUGGGGGAAGGGGGU